rnacentral:snRNA from 1 species
ACCUUUGUGCAGUGGCAGUACUGUAGCCACUGAGGUUUAUCCAAGGCACCAUUGUUGCUAAUUCAAAAUCCUUCCUGAGCUGUGUCUAACAAUUCCAUAGAAUUCUGCCAUGAUCUAUACUCAAUACUAAUG